rnacentral:rRNA from 1 species
AGUGAACGCUGGCGGUAGGCCUAACACAUGCAAGUCGAACGGCAGCACAGUAAGAGCUUGCUCUUACGGGUGGCGGGUGGCGGACGGGUGAGGAAUACAUCGGAAUCUACUUUUUCGUGGGGGAUAACGUAGGGAAACUUACGCUAAUACCGCAUACGACCUACGGGUGAAAGCAGGGGAUCUUCGGACCUUGCGCGAUUGAAUGAGCCGAUGUCGGAUUAGCUAGUUGGCGGGGUAAAGGCCCACCAAGGCGACGAUCCGUAGCUGGUCCGAGAGGAUGAUCAGCCACACUGGAACUGAGACACGGUCCAGACUCCUACGGGAGGCAGCAGUGGGGAAUAUUGGACAAUGGGCGCAAGCCUGAUCCAGCCAUACCGCGUGGGUGAAGAAGGCCUUCGGGUUGUAAAGCCCUUUUGUUGGGAAAGAAAAGCAGCAGGUUAAUACCCCGCUGUUCUGACGGUACCCAAAGAAUAAGCACCGGCUAACUUCGUG